rnacentral:rRNA from 1 species
GUGAGGAAUAUUGCGCAAUGGAGGCAACUCUGACGCAGCCAUGCCGCGUGCAGGAAGAAGGCGCUACGCGUUGUAAACUGCUUUUAACCGGGAAGAAACCCCAGGACGUGUCCUGGGUUGACGGUACCGGAGGAAUAAGCACCGGCUAACUUCGUGCCAGCAGCCGCGGUAAUACGAAGGGUGCAAGCGUUAUCCGGAUUCAUUGGGUUUAAAGGGUGCGUAGGCGGAGCGGUAAGUCAGUGGUGAAAUCCUGCAGCUUAACUGUAGACUGGCCAUUGAUACUGGAGCUCUUGAGUGCGCUUGAAGUGGGCGGAAUGUGCCGUGUAGCGGUGAAAUGCUUAGAUAUGGCACAGAACACCAAUUGCGAAGGCAGCUCACUAAGGCGAUACUGACGCUGAGGCACGAAAGCGUGGGGAUCGAACAGGAUUAGAUACCCCAGUAGUCC